rnacentral:rRNA from 1 species
CCUACGGGCGGCAGCAGUGGGGAAUAUUGCACAAUGGGCGCAAGCCUGAUGCAGCCAUGCCGCGUGUGUGAAGAAGGCCUUCGGGUUGUAAAGCACUUUCAGCGGGGAGGAAGGCGGUGAGGUUAAUAACCUCAUCGAUUGACGUUACCCGCAGAAGAAGCACCGGCUAACUCCGUGCCAGCAGCCGCGGUAAUACGGAGGGUGCAAGCGUUAAUCGGAAUUACUGGGCGUAAAGCGCACGCAGGCGGUCUGUCAAGUCGGAUGUGAAAUCCCCGGGCUCAACCGGGGAACUGCAUUCGAAACUGGCAGGCUAGAGUCUUGUAGAGGGGGGUAGAAUUCCAGGUGUAGCGGUGAAAUGCGUAGAGAUCUGGAGGAAUACCGGUGGCGAAGGCGGCCCCCGGGACAAAGACUGACGCUCAGGUGCGAAAGCGUGGGGAGCAAACAGGAUUAGAACCCCGGUAGUC